rnacentral:rRNA from 1 species
AAUUUAUUUAUUUAUUUAUUUAAAUUAUUAAAAGUAAUUAUAUAAUGUAGUGUUUUAGUAUAUAAUAUAGAAAGAAUAAUAUUAAUUAUAGUUUAAUAGUAUUGUGAAAUAAAAUUGAAAUAUUUGAAAAAUUUUUAUUAUAAAAGUAAAUUUAAUUUAUUGUACCUUGUGUAUCAGGGUUUAUCUAUUAAAAAUUAUUUAUUAUAAUUUUCUCGAUUUUAAAAGAGUUAAUAUAUUAUAAAAGUUAAUGUAAUAAAAUUAUUUUUAAUAAUAUAUUGGUAAUGAAAUGUUAUUCGUUUUUAAAGGUAUCUAGUUCUUUAAGAAAUAAAUUUAAUUUAGAAAUUUUAUAUUAUUUAAUUAAAUAAAUUAAUUAAAUAAUUAUUUAAUUUAAAUAUUUUAUGGGAUAAGCUAUAAAAUAAAAUUUUAAAAAUUCAUUAAUUAAUAAAUAAAAUAUAAGCUUAGAAAUAGUUAUUGUUAAUAAAAAUGUUAUAAUUUAUUUUAUAAUAAUUAAUUAUUUAUUGAAUUUUAAAUUUUUAUUAAAGUAUUUAUUUUAAUUUUAAAAAUAAAAAAAUAAUGAUAUAAUUAGUAUAAAUUAUUAUAUAAAUAAAUUUUUAAGAUAAGUUAUUAUAAGGAAUUCGGCAAAAUAAUGUUCGCCUGUUUAACAAAAACAUGUCUUUUUUUGUUUAUAAAAAGUCUAACCUGCCCACUGAAUAAAUUUUAAUGGCCGCAGUAUUUUAACUGUGCAAAGGUAGCAUAAUCAUUAGUCUUUUAAUUGAAGGCUUGUAUGAAUGGUUGGACGAGAUAUUAACUGUCUCAUCUUAAUUUUUUUUUGAAUUUAAUUUUUUAGUUAAAAAGCUAAAAUUUAUUUAAAAGACGAGAAGACCCUAUAAAUCUUUAUAUUGGAAUUAUUAUUAUUAUUUAGAUUUAUUUUAUAAUAAUAAUUAAUGAUAUUUUAUUGGGGUGAUAUUAAAAUUUAUGAAACUUUUAAUUUUUUGUUACAUUAAUUUAUGAAUAAAUGAUCCAUUUUUGAUGAUUAUAAAUACAAGUUACUUUAGGGAUAACAGCGUAAUUUUUUUGGAGAGUUCUUAUCAAUAAAAAAGAUUGCGACCUCGAUGUUGGAUUAAGAAAUAGUUUUAGGUGUAGAAGCUUAAAUUUCAAGUCUGUUCGACUUUUAAAUUCUUACAUGAUCUGAGUUCAAACCGGUGUAAGCCAGGUUGGUUUCUAUCUUUAAAAAAUUAAAAUAUUUCAGUACGAAAGGACCUAAUAUUUAAUAAAUUAUUAUUUUAUAAUUGAAUUAAAUUAAUAUAAUA